UGUAGCCCAGUUGGAUAGAGCGUUUGGCUACGAACCAAAAGGUCGCGAGUUCGAAUCUUGCCACG
rnacentral:tRNA from 1 species